rnacentral:rRNA from 1 species
UCCGGAUUUAUNGGGCGUAAAGGGAGCGCAGGCGGUCAGGAAAGUNUGGAGUAAAAGGCUAUGGCUCAACCAUAGUGUGNUCUGGAAACUGUCUGACUUGAGUGCAGAAGGGGAGAGUGGAAUUCCAUGUGUAGCGGUGAAAUGCGUAGAUAUAUGGAGGAACACCAGUGGCGAAAGCGGCUCUCUGGUCUGUCACUGACGCUGAGGCUCGAAAGCGUGGGUAGCGAACAGGAUUAGAUACCCUGGUAGUCCACGCCGUAAACGAUGAGUGCUAGGUGUUAGGCCCUUUCCGGGGCUUAGUGCCGGAGCUAACGCAAUAAGCACUCCGCCUGGGGAGUACGACCGCAAGGUUGAAACUCAAAGGAAUUGACGGGGGCCCGCACAAGCGGUGGAGCAUGUGGUUUAAUUCGAAGCAACGCGAAGAACCUUACCAGGUCUUGACAUCCCGAUGCUAUUCUUAGAGAUAGGAAGUUACUUCGGUACAUCGGAGACAGGUGGUGCAUGGUUGUCGUCAGCUCGUGUCGUGAGAUGUUGGGUUAAGUCCCGCAACGAGCGCAACCCUUAUUGUUAGUUGCCAUCAUUAAGUUGGGCACUCUAGCGAGACUGCCGGUAAUAAACCGGAGGAAGGUGGGGAUGACGUCAAAUCAUCAUGCCCCUUAUGACCUGGGCUACACACGUGCUAUAAUGGUCGGUACAACGAGUUGCGAGCCGGUGACGGCAAGCUAAUCUCUGAAAGCCGAUCUCAGUUCGGAUUGGAGGCUGCAACUCGCCUCCAUGAAGUCGGAAUCGCUAGUAAUCGCGGAUCAGCACGCCGCGGUGAAUACGUUCCCGGGCCUUGUACACACCGCCCGUCACACCACGAGAGUUUGUANCACCCG